CACAAAACGUCGGCUCUCGUAACUGCGGAUUACAUUGACCUCAUGCACUGCUGGUGCGCAUUUUCAAAUUUGCUAGGAAUCAAGAACAUCAUGAAGAAGUUUCCAGUGAUUUUGGUACCAGGUUAUAAUGGUGCACAAAGACUUCAUCUCCCAGUCUCCUUUGCGGUUAGAUUGGUACCAGGAGAUUAGCUCUGCCGAUGGGCUGUAACCAGAUGUGGUGUGCAUUACUUCCAAGGUAAACAUAGAAGAACAACUGAAUUGUCGGUGUUCUCUUCUCCUGCUGCAGGGACCGUGGAAGCCAUAUUUUUUAAUGGAGAACCCAGACCUUCAGAGACCUUGCAGCUUCUGCCUUCGCCAUCUUGAGAUCCUGAGAUACUUCAUGCUAUACAGAAGCCCAGUUUAGUCGACACGAAGGAUAGUCACUGGGCCCCAACAGACAGCCAGUGCCAACUACCAGACAUGUGAGUGAGACCAUCUUGGACCCCUGAGCUUCAGGCAGGUGGUCGAUGAUUACAGCCAGCUGAGGCUGCAAAGGAGUAGCCCAGAUUGUCAACACACAGG
rnacentral:lncRNA from 1 species